GCUAUUUCAAAAGAAUAUAUUUUCUCAAGGGCUGUGACAGCGUAUGCCUUCAAAAUCAGUAUAAAAAAAUUAUCAUUAUCGUAUAUAAAAUUAUUACUUCAGUGCAACAACAAAAUUUAAAAAAUAUUUUUCCAUCUAUCAAAAUUUGCCUAACAAAGUGGAGGGACAGAGCUCAAGGCUACUGACUAUUUAUUGUUCACUGUAAAGAUGGUUCUAAUUUUUAUAAAUAAAUAAGCAGAGAUGACUAGAGCUACUGACUAUUU
rnacentral:lncRNA from 1 species